rnacentral:rRNA from 1 species
GACGAACGCUGGCGGCACGCCUAACACAUGCAAGUCGAACGGACUUAAAAGAGCUUGCUUUUUUAAGUUAGUGGCGGACGGGUGAGUAACACGUGAGCAACCUGCCUCUGAGAGGGGGAUAGCUUCUGGAAACGGAUGGUAAUACCCCAUAAAAUAUAAAUAUCGCAUGAUAGAUAUAUCAAAGAAAUUCGCUCAGAGAUGGGCUCGCGUCUGAUUAGCUAGUUGGUGAGGUAACGGCUCACCAAGUCGACGAUCAGUAGCCGGACUGAGAGGUUGAACGGCCACAUUGGGACUGAGACACGGCCCAGACUCCUACGGGAGGCAGCAGUGGGGAAUAUUGCACAAUGGAGGGAACUCUGAUGCAGCGAUGCCGCGUGGAGGAAGAAGGUUUUCGGAUUGUAAACUCCUUUUAUCAGGGACGAUAAUGACGGUACCUGAAGAAAAAGCUCCGGCUAACUACGUG